GUGGGGAAUUUUGCGCAAUGGGCGAAAGCCUGACGCAGCAACGCCGCGUGGAGGAUGAAGGUGCUCUGCAUCGUAAACUCCUGUCGGCCGGGAAGAAAGGGCGGCGCAGUAACUGGCGUCGUCGUUGACUGUACCGGCAAAGGAAGCCCCGGCUAACUCCGUGCCAGCAGCCGCGGUAAUACGGAGGGGGCAAGCGUUACUCGGAAUUAUUGGGCGUAAAGGGCGCGUAGGCGGUCCUGUGCGUCGGAGGUGAAAUCCCCGGGCUUAACCCGGGUGCUGCCUCCGAUACGGCAGGACUUGAGUCCGGGAGAGGGGAGCAGAAUUCCCAGUGUAGCGGUGAAAUGCGUAGAUAUUGGGAGGAAUACCAGUGGCGAAGGCGGCUCCCUGGACCGGUACUGACGCUGAGGCGCGAAAGCGUGGGUAGCAAACAGGAUUAGAAACCCCUGUAGUCC
rnacentral:rRNA from 1 species